rnacentral:misc_RNA from 1 species
CAACCAAUCAAGCCUGGCUUGGUGUUGGGGUGUGCGGUACCGCGACCCUCAAACAAAACAGCAGUCUAAGCAGACCCUAAGUGUAGUAAAUAUCCUCACUUUUGGGCUUUGUGGUGGCUUGCUUAACCCUAUUUCUUAA